GAGACUUACAACUUCAGUGUAGCAGCAACCGAUGGAACUUACACCACAAGUUAUAGUUCACCUAUUCAAAUAAGCACAGGGCCUUGUGAACCAACCAAUUUCACUCGACACUUUGACUGUGACAGCAACAAUGCCACAUUCUUGUGGACUGAGGGCAAAGGAGUCUCAUCCUACACUGUGCUGGUGAAAGGGACACACAAUCAUGAAGACAACUGCACCUCCAACAGCACGACCUGUGUGAUAAAGCUCCACUGUGGGCAGCUUUAUACUGCUACACUAGUGGCUAACACAAACAGUUGUAAUACUACCAAAAGUGGCAACGUGGAGAUUGAGUCUGCACCAUGCGCCCCUAGUGCUGUAUCUGCCCAACUGGACUGUGGAACAAAGGAGGGUGUGGUUACGUGGAACAGUACUGGUUCAGCAGAAAACUUCACCGUCAAGGCCUGGUCCAGCGAUGGCCACAACUCUUCCUGCACAAGCAACGGCACCACUUGUAACCUCCAGCAGCUGCUCUGUGGG